rnacentral:rRNA from 1 species
UACGAAGGGGGCUAGCGUUGCUCGGAAUUACUGGGCGUAAAGGGCGCGUAGGCGGCCUUCUAAGUCGAACGUGAAAUCCCCGGGCUCAACCCGGGAACUGCGUCCGAUACUGGAAGGCUUGAAUCCGGGAGAGGGAUGCGGAAUCCCAGGUGUAGCGGUGAAAUGCGUAGAUAUCUGGAGGAACACCGGUGGCGAAGGCGGCAUCCUGGACCGGCAUUGACGCUGAGGCGCGAAAGCCAGGGGAGCAAACGGG